rnacentral:rRNA from 1 species
AUUGAACGCUGGCGGCAGGCCUAAUACAUGCAAGUCGAGCGAGCGGCGGACGGGAGGGCAAUGGAUGGGGAUCUGCCUGAUCGAGGGGGCUAACUACUGGAAACGGUGGCUAAUACUGCAUCCUACAGGAUGAAGCCACAUGGGAGUAGGUAGUCGGUGGGGUAAAGGCUACCCAAGGCGACGAUACCUAGCUGGUCUGAGAGGCUGAUCGGCCACACUGGGACUGAGACACGGCCCAGACGCCUACGGGAGGCAGCAGUGGGGAAUAUUGGACGAUGGACGCAAGCCUGAUGCAGCCAGGCCGCGUGUAUGAAGAAGGCCUUAGGAGUGUAAAGCACUGUCGUUGGGGAGGCGUUACCCGCAGAAGAAGCACCGGCUAACUCCGUGCCAGCCGCCGCGGUAAUUC